GACGAACGCUGGCGGCGUGCUUAACACAUGCAAGUCGAACGGUAAGGCCCUUCGGGGUACACGAGUGGCGAACGGGUGAGUAACACGUGGGUGAUCUGCCCUGCACUUCGGGAUAAGCCUGGGAAACUGGGUCUAAUACCGGCUAGGACUCCUGGCUUCAUGGUUGGGGGUGGAAAGCUUUUGCGGGGUGGGAUGGGCCCGCGGCCUAUCAGCUUGUUGGUGGGGUAAUGGCCUACCAAGGCGACGACGGGUAGCCGGCCUGAGAGGGUGACUGGUCACACUGGGACUGAGAUACGGCCCAGACUCCUACGGGAGGCAGCAGUGGGGAAUAUUGCACAAUGGGCGCAAGCCUGAUGCAGCGACGCCGCGUGAGGGAUGACGGCCUUCGGGUUGUAAACCUCUUUCAGCUAUGACGAAGCGCAAGUGACGGUAGUAGCAGAAGAAGGACCGGCCAACUACGUGCCAGCCGCCGCAGUAA
rnacentral:rRNA from 1 species